rnacentral:rRNA from 1 species
AUUGAACGCUGGCGGCAUGCCUUACACAUGCAAGUCGAACGGCAGCGGACCUUCGGGUGCCGGCGAGUGGCGAACGGGUGAGUAAUGUAUCGGAACGUACCUUUCAGUGGGGGAUAACGUAGCGAAAGUUACGCUAAUACCGCAUAUUCUGUGAGCAGGAAAGCAGGGGAUCGCAAGACCUUGCGCUGAUUGAGCGGCCGAUAUCAGAUUAGCUAGUUGGUGAGGUAAAGGCUCACCAAGGCGACGAUAUGUAGCGGGUCUGAGAGGAUGAUCCGCCACACGGGAAAUGGGACACGGUCCAGACUCCUACGGGAGGCAUCAGUGGGGAAUUUUUGACAAUGGGGGCAACCCUGAUCCAGCCAUGCCGCGGUAGUGAAGAAGGCCUUCGGGUUGGACAGCUCGUUCGUCCGGGAAGAAAUCGCAUCAGCUAAUACCUGGUGUGGAUGACGGUACCGGAAUAAGAAGCACCGGCUAACUGCGUGCCAGCAGCCGCCGUAAUAC